GCACCCCCCUCGUUGUCGCCUACCUUCCCUAUAGCUAUACGUCCUCCAUCGAAGCGCAUUCUGGGCUUUCUCACCUCCAUUGCCGCAACUCGUCUCUUUCUCUCCAUAGCUCUCCUCCAUUGAAGCGCAUUCUGCUGAGCUUUCUCACCUCCAUUGAAGCGCAUUCUGAGCUUUCCAACUCUAUUGUAGCAGCUUCGAGUGAUAAAUAUACGAGCAUAUGCAUCCUGGGAUAGCUUCUCUCAUUAUCCGGUUUGGCAAGGAAAGAAGCAAAUGAAUUGAUAAAACUUGUCAGGUCUCGUGUAGUGGACAACAAUGGAACUUUUGGUGAAACUACUCCAAAUAUGCAGAAAUCAGCAAUUAUGGAAGCUAGGAAAUGAUAAGAUUUUCAAGUGUGACCGAUCCCUCUCUACUCGGGGAAGCAGGGGAGCUUGAAAUACGCAUCAAACCUGAUCCAGAUAAUGGGACCAUCACGAUUAGGAUACUGGUAAUUAGAAUGACAAAAGAGGAGCUUGUUGAUUGUUUGGGAACUAUUGCACAGAGUGGCACUUCCAAGUUCUUAAAAGCUUUGA